rnacentral:lncRNA from 1 species
UACUUUGGACGUUUUAAUGAUUUUGUAGGCAUGGAGAUUGGAGCGGUUUUGGAUGAUUUACAAGGGCCUGAUCAUUGCAAGAAUAAAAAGAAGUUCAUUUGUUCAUCAAAUGAACUAACUGGAGAUGACAUUGGGCUGAAAUAAACUUCCUAAGUUUGGGCCAAUUGAUGACACCGAUGGGCUGCACAUUGAGUCAUGGACUAGAAAAAAAAUAACAAUCAUCACGAAAAAAAGGGGGGGAUUGGUUUUUGGACGGCUGAAAGUGGAAAAAGAAAAGAAGGGAAUCCAUUUUUUUUGUGGGUGGCUGGCAUUCGAAAUCACAAGGAAAAAGUGGCAUUUUCUCUUUGAUGAAUUUUUUAUAGAACAUCACAGUUUGUUUGAUUUUCGUAAGUUUUAAAUAUUGGAUGUUUUAUUUCAUAUUUGAAUUGAUUGUUCUAACCACCAUGUCUGGCUAGUCUUUUAUAGUUUCAACAUUAGGGUUUGUUUUCUUUGAUUUGGUUCAUAAACUUAUGUGAAACGGUUACGUUUGAUUCAAUUUAUUUUAGUGGUUUGUUUGUGUG